ACCCGGAUUCUUACCCCUCCCCCCGGACCUUCAUCCCCUACCCGCUCCGGGGAGUGGGAGCCGCUGGCGCUGGGGGGGGGGCUGUGGCCUGCCCGAGCGACCAGGGCGCUGCUUUGCGGCAGAGGUGGCCCGGGGCCCAAUCAGACCGUGCGACCCCGCGCGAGCGUCCCAACUCCCGGGCUCUGUCCCUCCGGCGCGCGGCCUCUGCCAGAGAGAAGCAAAGACACAUAGGCAGAGGGAGAAGAAGCAGGCUCCAUGCAGGGAGCCCGACGUGGGAUUCAAUCCUGGGACCACGGGAUCACACCCUGAACCAAAGGCAGAUGCUGAAACGGCUGAGCCUCCCAGGCGUCCCCCAAGAACCUUUUCUAGGGGAGACAGAAUGAAAGGAAAGAAAGAAGUGAAAAUGAAGAGGCCAGUGCUGAUGUUCUGGAUUCUUUGUGGACUAGGCAAAAGUUGAAGAAAGUGAUCAGCAACAGCAGGGGAAAUUUUCAAAAAGGUAAAUGAAGAAUUCAGAGCCUAAACCCAAGUUUAAGACAAGAUGCAAAAAAAGGAAAAAAAAAUCAAAGAGCUUGGAACAGAAUUCUGGCAGCAGUAAACUUGGGAACAUGAGCCCACAGGUUGCCCUUAAAUUUCAGGAGCUCUUUCACCGCAUUCACAGGCAGAUGGAGGGCCAUGCCCACCACCAUCUCUACCCACGCCCUCUCUACUCAGAGGAGUUGCUCCUCCUUCUCCAACUUCUUUACCUAGAAUAAGUGGUAAACCAUCACCACCACUAUCACCUUUGUGGGAGGACCUCCUUCUCCAAAAUCAC